UACAGAGGGUGCAAGCGUUGUUCGGAAUUAUUGGGCGUAAAGCGCGUGUAGGCGGCUUUGCAAGUCGGGUGUGAAAGCCCUCAGCUCAACUGAGGGAAGUGCGCCUGAAACUGCAGAGCUUGAGUGCCGGAGAGGGUGGCGGAAUUCCCCAAGUAGAGGUGAAAUUCGUAGAUAUGGGGGAGGAACACCGGUGGCGAAGGCGGCCGACC
rnacentral:rRNA from 1 species